rnacentral:rRNA from 1 species
UACGUAGGGGGCUAGCGUUGUCCGGAUUUAUUGGGCGUAAAGAGCGUGUAGGCGGCCAUGUAGGUCCGGUGUAAAAACUCGAGGCUUAACCUCGAGAUGUCAUCGGAAACCAUUUGGCUAGAGUCCGGAAGAGGAGAGUGGAAUUCCUGGUGUAGCGGUGAAAUGCGCAGAUAUCAGGAAGAACACCAAUGGCGAAAGCAGCUCUCUGGGACGGUACUGACGCUGAGACGCGAAAGCGUGGGGAGCGAACAGG